GCAGGGUGCGAGCGUUAAUCGGAAUUACUGGGCGUAAAGGGUUCGCAGGCGGAUAUUUAAGUCAGGCGUGAAAUCCCCGAGCUUAACUUGGGAAUUGCGCUUGAAACUGGCUAUCUAGAGUGCGUCAGAGGGGGGUGGAAUUCCACGUGUAGCAGUGAAAUGCGUAGAUAUGUGGAGGAACACCGAUGGCGAAGGCAGCCCCCUGGGACGACACUGACGCUCAUGCACGAAAGCGUGGGGAGCAAACAGGAUUAGAUACCCUGGUAGUCCACGCCCUAAACGAUGUCAACUGGCUGUUGGGUGCGAGAGUACUCAGUAGCGAAGCUAACGCGUGAAGUUGACCGCCUGGGGAGUACGGCCGCAAGGUUG
rnacentral:rRNA from 1 species